rnacentral:rRNA from 1 species
GACGAACGCUGGCGGCGUGCCUAAUACAUGCAAGUUGAGCGCUGAAGGUUGGUACUUGUACCGACUGGAUGAGCAGCGAACGGGUGAGUAACGCGUGGGGAAUCUGCCUUUGAGCGGGGGACAACAUUUGGAAACGAAUGCUAAUACCGCAUAAAAACUUUAAACACAAGUUUUAAGUUUGAAAGAUGCAAUUGCAUCACUCAAAGAUGAUCCCGCGUUGUAUUAGCUAGUUGGUGAGGUAAAGGCUCACCAAGGCGAUGAUACAUAGCCGACCUGAGAGGGUGAUCGGCCACAUUGGGACUGAGACACGGCUCAAACUCCUACGGGAGGCAGCAGUAGGGAAUCUUCGGCAAUGGACGAAAGUCUGACCGAGCAACGCCGCGUGAGUGAAGAAGGUUUUCGGAUCGUAAAACUCUGUUGGUAGAGAAGAACGUUGGUGAGAGUGGAAAGCUCAUCAAGUGACGGUAACUACCCAGAAAGGGACGGCUAACUACGUG